UUUAUUUAUAUAACGUUCUUGAAACCAUAAAAUUAGUGUGAGAGAGUAUAGUUUAGUGAUUGGCAGGGGUUAGGGCCAGGGGGUGGAGGAUGGAAGGAGAGGGAAAUAGAUUAUGUUACAAAAAGGCAACAUAAGAGAUGGUGAUUGAUAUACAAACCUCCACAUGUGAUAAAAUGGCAUAGAAUUAAAUACACGUGCACGUGCACACACACACACACACACACACACACAGAGUAAAUGUAAGACAGGAGGGAAAUCUGAUCAAGAUCUAUGGAUUGUACCAUCAAUUUCCUAGUUGUAAUAUUGCACAUACUAGAGUUUUGUAAGAUGUUACCAUUGGAAGGAAACUGUGGAUAAAAGACACAUUGUAUCUCUCUGUAUUAUUUCUUACAACCCGAUGUGAAUCUAUAAUUACCUCUAUUUAAUUAAAUUGUAAAAAGUUAAAUGGAAUCUAACUAAUAUUCUCAUGAUAUAGUUGUUAACCCUGUACAGAAAAAGAACCCAAGUAUGAAGCCAAAGAAAGAGCAGUGGUGAAGCCUGAAAAAAGCUCAAAGCGCGGGACAAAGGCAGAGCUGGAGCUGUUCCUGCACCUGUGGGUGUAUGGGGAGCAGGGGAGAGAAGGUAUCAGCACAGGUCAUUUUUAGGGUGCCAGGGCAGGGUUGAGGAGGGAGUUCUUAGCAGUAGAAACCCACUGUGUGCUAACAGCAGUGAGGAGAGUCCUAGCAGCAAGGGUGGGAACAGAUAGGCAGCUUCCAAUGGGUGCCCAAGGUCCAAGCAUGAGUUUUUUUUUAACUCUAGAAACCCAAACAUACACUAUUUGAUAAAACUAAAAUUACUUUAGCUGCUGGAAGCAAAUCUGUGUUUUUUGUGAUCGAUUCAAACCACAGAUAGAGCAGGGGAUUGUCUUUCGGUAGGUGUGAAUGGGGCUGUAUUAGUCACCAGAGUUUCAAGUGUGCUUCUGUUUAGUUAUCAAACUGCAAUUCCAUUGAUACCCCGUCUUGAGUGUCUCCUCUGUGAGUAACAUGAAAAGGACCUCUGGUUAAAUAGAAAACUUGUCUUGAAUUUGGAAUUACAACAUGCCCUUACUUAUUCAGGACUCAAUUAACUGAGCUUCAGGAUAAUCCAAGGUGAAGAAAAACAAGAGCUGACAAAGAAAAGAAAUGGUGCUGCUGGGUUAGGGUCUCCCCAACUGAGCUGGUCUCAGCAAGUGGCGUCCAUUCGUGGGAGCUUGAAUCCAGGUCGAAGGGUCACCGGAGCAAUGGUUGGAAUGGAAAACUAGCUGGAGGACACCCGAGUACUCUAAAAGCAAUCCCCAUGGCCAAAAUCAACAGCCAAUUUGGAUACCAUCAAGACACCUGAAACCUUAUCAUGAGCCAGAUGCCAAGGAAGAGAUUCGGGAGGAUCCUGAGGACCCCCCGGUUGCAGCCAUGUUGAGACUGAUGCUGAGGAGGACCCCAACUGUCACGAGCAACACCCGUCGACCACAGCCACCCACCUGGGGACAGAUCAAGAAGCUGUCACAGAUGGCGGAGGAAAGCGGAACAACCAGUCACAAUGAAUAAUUUAAUGGUAGCUAUGAUAGUGGUUAUCACCACUGCCGUGAGUAUUCCUACAAUAAGGGCUGGUAAUAACGCCUGGAUGCAAUCACUCUAUGACACAGUUACAUAUGCUUUCUGAUCUCAGUAUUUACCAUAAUAAAUCUGCUCCUAUAAUUGAGGCAUACCACCCUUAAAAACCUAUUUGUAAACAGGAUUGGACCCAGUUAGAAAAAAUGAACACAAUUGUUUAGGAAGAUUGCCUUGCAGAACAGGCAGAGAUGCUGCACAACGAUUCCUAUGGAAUCAUUAUUAAUUGGUCCCCUAAGGGGAUGUUUAGCUUGAAUUGCACCUCUCAGUCUGCGUGCCACAGUCACACUAUGUUUAGAUGAUCUGAACAAAACAGUCAGAUGGUAGAAAUGUUAAGAAGUACGGCAAAAGUUCCUAUUAUGUGGAACCAUGGCGGUAUAGUGGCACCUCAACCUCAAAUGAUAUGGCCUGCUCUAGGAGCUAAACAUAAGGAUUUGCGGAAACUAUUAAAUGCUCUUAAUAAGAUCAAAAUUUGGGAAAGAAUAAAAAAGCAUCUAGAAGGACACUCUACAAAAUUG
rnacentral:lncRNA from 1 species